CCUACGGGAGGCUGCAGUGAGGAAUAUUGGUCAAUGGGCGCGAGCCUGAACCAGCCAAGUAGCGUGAAGGAUGACUGCCCUACGGGUUGUAAACUUCUUUUGUCAAGGGACAAAAUCAGGCUCGCGAGCCUGACCGAGGGUACUUGAAGAAAAAGCAUCGGCUAACUCCGUGCCAGCAGCCGCGGUAAUACGUAGGUGGCAAGCGUUGUCCGGAUUUACUGGGUGUAAAGGGCGUGUAGCCGGGUUGACAAGUCAGAUGUGAAAUCCUGCGGCUUAACCGCAGAACUGCAUUUGAAACUGUUGAUCUUGAGUACUGGAGAGGCAGACGGAAUUCCUAGUGUAGCGGUGAAAUGCGUAGAUAUUAGGAGGAACACCAGUGGCGAAGGCGGUCUGCUGGACAGCAACUGACGGUGAGGCGCGAAAGCGUGGGGAGCAAACAGGAUUAGAUACCCGUGUAGUC
rnacentral:rRNA from 1 species